AAAUUGAAGAGUUUGAUCAUGGCUCAGAUUGAACGCUGGCGGCAGGCCUAACACAUGCAAGUCGAGCGGUAGCACAGAGAGCUUGCUCUCGGGUGACGAGCGGCGGACGGGUGAGUAAUGUCUGGGAAACUGCCUGAUGGAGGGGGAUAACUACUGGAAACGGUAGCUAAUACCGCAUAAUGUCGCAAGACCAAAGUGGGGGACCUUCGGGCCUCAUGCCAUCAGAUGUGCCCAGAUGGGAUUAGCUAGUAGGUGGGGUAACGGCUCACCUAGGCGACGAUCCCUAACUGGUCUGAGAGGAUGACCAGCCACACUGGAACUGAGACACGGUCCAGACUCCUACGGGAGGCAGCAGUGGGGAAUAUUGCACAAUGGGCGCAAGCCUGAUGCAGCCAUGCCGCGUGUGUGAAGAAGGCCUUCGGGUUGUAAAGCACUUUCAGCGGGGAGGAAGGCGUUAAGGUUAAUAACCUUGGCGAUUGACGUUACCCGCAGAAGAAGCACCGGCUAACUCCGUGCCAGCAGCCGCGGUAAUACGGAGGGUGCAAGCGUUAAUCGGAAUUACUGGGCGUAAAGCGCACGCAGGCGGUCUGUCAAGUCGGAUGUGAAAUCCCCGGGCUCAACCUGGGAACUGCAUUCGAAACUGGCAGGCUAGAGUCUUGUAGAGGGGGGUAGAAUUCCAGGUGUAGCGGUGAAAUGCGUAGAGAUCUGGAGGAAUACCGGUGGCGAAGGCGGCCCCCUGGACAAAGACUGACGCUCAGGUGCGAAAGCGUGGGGAGCAAACAGGAUUAGAUACCCUGGUAGUCCACGCCGUAAACGAUGUCGAUUUGGAGGUUGUGCCCUUGAGGCGUGGCUUCCGGAGCUAACGCGUUAAAUCGACCGCCUGGGGAGUACGGCCGCAAGGUUAAAACUCAAAUGAAUUGACGGGGGCCCGCACAAGCGGUGGAGCAUGUGGUUUAAUUCGAUGCAACGCGAAGAACCUUACCUGGUCUUGACAUCCACAGAACUUAGCAGAGAUGCUUUGGUGCCUUCGGGAACUGUGAGACAGGUGCUGCAUGGCUGUCGUCAGCUCGUGUUGUGAAAUGUUGGGUUAAGUCCCGCAACGAGCGCAACCCUUAUCCUUUGUUGCCAGCGGUCCGGCCGGGAACUCAAAGGAGACUGCCAGUGAUAAACUGGAGGAAGGUGGGGAUGACGUCAAGUCAUCAUGGCCCUUACGACCAGGGCUACACACGUGCUACAAUGGCAUAUACAAAGAGAAGCGACCUCGCGAGAGCAAGCGGACCUCAUAAAGUAUGUCGUAGUCCGGAUUGAGUCUGCAACUCGACUCCAUGAAGUCGGAAUCGCUAGUAAUCGUAGAUCAGAAUGCUACGGUGAAUACGUUCCCGGGCCUUGUACACACCGCCCGUCACACCAUGGGAGUGGGUUGCAAAAGAAGUAGGUAGCUUAACCUUCGGGAGGGCGCUUACCACUUUGUGAUUCAUGACUGGGGUGAAGUCGUAACAAGGUAACCGUAGGGGAACCUGCGGUUGGAUCACCUCCUUACCUUAAAGAA
rnacentral:rRNA from 1 species